UCAGACGAACGCUGGCGGCAUGCUCUUAUACAUGCAAGUCGAGCGAACAGAUGAAGUGCUUGCACUUCUGACGUAGCGGCGAACGGGUGAGUAACACGUAAGGAAUCUACCUAUAAGCGGGGGAUAACAUUCGGAAACGGGUGCUAAUACCGCAUAAUAUCUUCUUCCGCAUGGAAGAAGAUUGAAAGACGGCUCUGCUGUCACUUAUAGAUGACCUUGCGGUGCAUUAGUUAGUUGGUGGGGUAACGGCCUACCAAGACGAUGAUGCAUAGCCGACCUGAGAGGGUGAUCGGCCACAUUGGGACUGAGACACGGCCCAAACUCCUACGGGAGGCAGCAGUAGGGAAUCUUCCGCAAUGGGCGAAAGCCUGACGGAGCAAUGCCGCGUGAGUGAAGAAGGCCUUCGGGUCGUAAAACUCUGUUAUAAGAGAAGAACAAAUUGUAGAGUAACUGCUACAGUCUUGACGGUAUCUUAUCAGAAAGCCACGGCUAACUACGUGCCAGCAGCCGCGGUAAUACGUAGGUGGCAAGCGUUGUCCGGAUUUAUUGGGCGUAAAGGGAGCGCAGGUGGUUUCUUAAGUCUGAUGUGAAAGCCCACGGCUUAACCGUGGAGGGUCAUUGGAAACUGGGAAACUUGAGUACAGAAGAGGAAUGUGGAACUCCAUGUGUAGCGGUGGAAUGCGUAGAUAUAUGGAAGAACACCAGUGGCGAAGGCGACAUUCUGGUCUGUUACUGACACUGAGGCUCGAAAGCGUGGGGAGCAAACAGGAUUAGAUACCCUGGUAGUCCACGCCGUAAACGAUGAGUGCUAGGUGUUGGAGGGUUUCCGCCCUUCAGUGCCGCAGUUAACGCAUUAAGCACUCCGCCUGGAGACACCCACUUGU
rnacentral:rRNA from 2 species